rnacentral:rRNA from 1 species
GAUGAACGCUGGCGGCGUGCCUAAUACAUGCAAGUCGAGCGAACAGACGAGGAGCUUGCUCCUCUGACGUUACCGGCGGACGGGUGAGUAACACGUGGAUAACCUACCUAUAAGACUGGGAUAACUUCGGGAAACCGGAGCUAAUACCGGAUAAUAUAUUGAACCGCAUGGUCCAAUAGUGAAAGACGGUUUUGCUGUCACUUAUAGAUGGAUCCGCGCCGCAUUAGCUAGUUGGUAAGGUAACGGCUUACCAAGGCAACGAUGCGUAGCCGACCUGAGAGGGUGAUCGGCCACACUGGAACUGAGACACGGUCCAGACUCCUACGGGAGGCAGCAGUAGGGAAUCUUCCGCAAUGGGCGAAAGCCUGACGGAGCAACGCCGCGUGAGUGAUGAAGGUCUUCGGAUCGUAAAACUCUGUUAUUAGGGAAGAACAAAUGUGUAAGUAACUAUGCACGUCUUGACGGUACCUAAUCAGAAAGCCACGGCUAACUACGUG